GAUGAACGCUGGCGGCGUGCUUAACACAUGCAAGUCGAACGGUGAAGCCCAGCUUGCUGGGUGGAUCAGUGGCGAACGGGUGAGUAACACGUGAGCAACCUGCCCCUGACUCUGGGACAAGCGCUGGAAACGGCGUCUAAUACUGGAUACGAGACGUGAUCGCAUGGUCAACGUUUGGAAAGAUUUUUUCGGUUGGGGAUGGGCUCGCGGCCUAUCAGCUUGUUGGUGAGGUAAUGGCUCACCAAGGCGUCGACGGGUAGCCGGCCUGAGAGGGUGACCGGCCACACUGGGACUGAGACACGGCCCAGACUCCUACGGGAGGCAGCAGUGGGGAAUAUUGCACAAUGGGCGCAAGCCUGAUGCAGCAACGCCGCGUGAGGGAUGACGGCCUUCGGGUUGUAAACCUCUUUUAGCAGGGAAGAAGCGAGAGUGACGGUACCUGCAGAAAAAGCACCGGCUAACUACGUGCCAGCAGCCGCGGUAAUACGUAGGGUGCAAGCGUUAUCCGGAAUUAUUGGGCGUAAAGAGCUCGUAGGCGGUUUGUCGCGUCUGCUGUGAAAUCUGGGGGCUCAACCCCCAGCCUGCAGUGGGUACGGGCAGACUAGAGUGCGGUAGGGGAGAUUGGAAUUCCUGGUGUAGCGGUGGAAUGCGCAGAUAUCAGGAGGAACACCGAUGGCGAAGGCAGAUCUCUGGGCCGUAACUGACGCUGAGGAGCGAAAGGGUGGGGAGCAAACAGGCUUAGAUACCCUGGUAGUCCACCCCGUAAACGUUGGGAACUAGUUGUGGGGUCCAUUCCACGGAUUCCGUGACGCAGCUAACGCAUUAAGUUCCCCGCCUGGGGAGUACGGCCGCAAGGCUAAAACUCAAAGGAAUUGACGGGGACCCGCACAAGCGGCGGAGCAUGCGGAUUAAUUCGAUGCAACGCGGAGAACCUUACCAAGGCUUGACAUAUACGAGAACGGGCCAGAAAUGGUCAACUCUUUGGACACUCGUAAACAGGUGGUGCAUGGUUGUCGUCAGCUCGUGUCGUGAGAUGUUGGGUUAAGUCCCGCAACGAGCGCAACCCUCGUUCUAUGUUGCCAGCACGUAAUGGUGGGAACUCAUGGGAUACUGCCGGGGUCAACUCGGAGGAAGGUGGGGAUGACGUCAAAUCAUCAUGCCCCUUAUGUCUUGGGCUUCACGCAUGCUACAAUGGCCGGUACAAUGGGCUGCAAUACCGUGAGGUGGAGCGAAUCCCAAAAAGCCGGUCCCAGUUCGGAUUGAGGUCUGCAACUCGACCUCAUGAAGUCGGAGUCGCUAGUAAUCGCAGAUCAGCAACGCUGCGGUGAAUACGUUCCCGGGUCU
rnacentral:rRNA from 1 species